rnacentral:piRNA from 1 species
AUCAGGAAUAGGGGGACUUUUGC